rnacentral:rRNA from 1 species
GACAGAGGGUGCAAACGUUGUUCGGAAUUACUGGGCGUAAAGAGCGUGUAGGCGGCUAGAUAGGUCCGUUGUGAAAACUCGAGGCUCAACCUCGAGACGUCGAUGGAAACCAUCUGGCUAGAGUCCGGAAGAGGAGAGUGGAAUUCCUGGUGUAGCGGUGAAAUGCGCAGAUAUCAGGAAGAACACCCGUGGCGAAGGCGGCUCUCUGGUACGUGACUGACGCUGAGACGCGAAAGCGUGGGGAGCAAACAGG